UCNCCAGGACAGCCAUCAAAUCAUUCUC
rnacentral:piRNA from 1 species